AUGAGCUUCGCCCCACAGCCUAGCUCAUACCAAAACAAUUACUCAUAUGGGUGGCCUGAGAACCAGAAUAUGUCAUAUAGGAGCAACAACCCUGAGAUCUCACCAUUUGCUUCUAGUAAUCAUAUACAGGGAUUUAGGUACAAUGAGGAGAGCCACAACUAUGCUCGACAACAGAUUUAUUCAGCUCCUACUCAUAUACCUCAACACCAGGAGAUGUUGCCAAUGGAGUUAAAUGGUCCUCCAUUUGGUCAACCAACAACUCCAGCAACCGCCGAGCAAUCUCAUGUGCAAGUGCCCACACAAGAUGAAUUCGGUGACAUAGACAAGCUCACACUUUUGAGUCUCGAGUUCACUUGGAGUGCUGAGGAUGAUCCUAUUAGGAAGGUUAUACUAGAGGAAAUGAAGAAGAUCAAGAGUGGGAAUGAGCUAGUGGAUGAAGUAAAGAAGAUUGAGAAGAACAUCAACGCUGGCAGUACUAUUUCUUCACAGCUUGAGCUGAGUAAUUCUGGGAAUCCCCUUGAUACAUGUGAGGUUCCAAUACCAUCACAUCUAGCUGACCAAGAUAGCAAGUGCCUUGAGUAA
rnacentral:rRNA from 1 species